UUAUAACUCUCUUAUAGUUUUAGAAUCUGAGUGAGUUACUGUUUUGAAUAUCUAAAAUCUUCAAAUUAAGUUUUUAUGAUUUUAAGUUAAAUUAGACUUAAGAAUAUGUGUAAGAAUUGAGAAUAAAUAUUUACUUUUCAUUUAAGAAAUGAACACACAAGAAAAUUUAAACGACGAUGAUGGUGACUUUUUUAGAAAUGCGCAGGAGAUAGUGGCAGAAGAG
rnacentral:lncRNA from 1 species